GCGUGGCACCAGCGGCCGUUGAAAAAUGGCGACUGUUACUGAGCUGAAAGCUGUUUUAAAGGACACCUUGGAAAAAAGGGGAGUGUUAAGACAUUUAAAAGCAAGGAUCCGUGCUGAAGUUUUCAAUGCUCUGGAUGAUGAUCGUGAACCCCGACCAUUGUUGUCUCAUGAGAACCUUCUAAUUAAUGAAUUAAUUAGGGAGUAUUUGGAAUUCAACAAAUAUAAAUACACAGCCUCUGUCCUCAUAGCAGAAUCUGGUCAACCUGUAGUUCCAUUGGACAGACAGUUUCUCAUCCGUGAACUAAAUGCCUUUGAAGAAUCAAAGGAUAACUCAAUCCCAUUUCUUGCGUGGUCCUCCAGACGGAGCCCAGAAUGUGCUUCUGACAGAAUCAACACUGCACCCUGCAAACAAGCAUGUCAGCUGGAAGCCCAGCAGAAGACCAGAUGAUGACCACCUGAAGAAGGACACAGGGCCAAGAACCAUGACUGAAGAGCUUCAUGCUGCUGCACAGGCAGUCAUUAGAUGAUGUGUACACCAGGCUCUUCACCUCGGCUGUGUGUGGAGUAACUAACUUAUUCCCAGUGCCAUCAAUUAGACCACCACUGUCUGUAAAUGUUUGAAUGUCUACAAACAUUCAGCCACUCGUGGUUUACUGCAUCUGUAGAAUACUGAUCUGUCAUCUAGUUUGCUGGAUGCCACUGGGGGAAAUUUAUUGUUUUCAGGAUGUAUUUUUAAAGUUCUCAUUUGUGAAAUCUGAAAGGUCUUUUUAGUACUUUGCAUAGUUUGUUUUUUUUAAGGCCAGCUCUAAGUGCUGUUGACGUGCCACUGGUAAAGCACUCACCUCCCAUGUGCAAGGGCCUGGGUUCAGUCCUAGCACCGGAAAAAGAAAACACAAGAACAGCUCUUUGUCCAUAUGCUCUAAUCAUUAAACUUUUUCUAGCUAGAAUUAUAUGGACCUAUAGGGAAAGUCAUUCAUGUUUUGAAAAAAUAUUUAAAGGGGCAUUAAAACCAGAACUUAAUUCCUAUAAAGUUUGAUUUUUUUUUUUAAAUCUGAAUUACUGUCUGCCCUGGCUAGUUUUAUGUCAACUUGAUACAAGCUAGAUUCAUUUGGGAAGAGGGACUCUAAAUUGAGAAAAUCGCUCCAUCAGAUUGGCUUAUGGGCAAACCUAUAGUAUAUUUUUUUUUAAAUUAAUGAUCAAUGUGGAAGGGUCCAGCCCACUGUGGGUGGUGUCACCCUUGGGGAGGCAAUCCUGGGUUCAGUAAGAAAGACUGAGCAAGCCGUGGGGAGCAAAUCAAUACAUAGCACUCCUCUGUGACCCCAGCAUUAGCUUCUGCCCUGUUUUCUCUCAGUGAUGAACUGUGAUGUUGAACUGUAAGCUGAAAUAAACCCUCUCCUUCCCAAGU
rnacentral:lncRNA from 1 species